CCUACGGGAGGCAGCAGUGAGGAAUAUUGGUCAAUGGGCGCGAGCCUGAUCCAGCCAAGUAGCGUGAAGGAUGACUGCCCUACGGGUUGUAAACUUCUUUUAUAAAGGAAUAAAGUGAGGCACGUGUGCCUUUUUGUAUUUACUUUAUGAAUAAGGAUCGGCUAACUCCGUUCCAGCAGCCGCGGUAAUACGGAGGAUCCGAGCGUUAUCCUGAUUUAUUUGGUUUAAAGGGAGCGUAGAUGGGUUGUUAAGUCAGAUGUGAAAGUUUGCGGCUCAACCGUAAAAUUGCAAUUGAUACUGGCAGGCUUGAGUACAGUUGAGGUAGGCGGAAUUCGUGGUGUAGCGGUGAAAUGCUUAGAGAUCACGAAGAACACCGAUUGCGAAGGCAGCCUACUAAAC
rnacentral:rRNA from 1 species